AUUGAACGCUGGCGGCAGGCCUAACACAUGCAAGUCGAACGAGAGGCGGACGGGUGAGUAAUGUCUGGGAAACUGCCUGAUGGAGGGGGAUAACUACUGGAAACGGUAGCUAAUACCGCAUACCAUCGGAUGUGCCCAGAUGGGAUUAGCUAGUGGGUGGGGUAACGGCUCACCUAGGCGAAGAUCCCUAGCUGUGCUGAGAGGAGGACCAGCCACACUGUAACUUAGACACGGUCCAGACUCCUACGGGAGGCAUCAGUGGGGAAUAUUGCACAAUGGGCGCAAGCCUGAUGCAGCCAUGCCGCGUGUAUGAAGAAGGCCUUCGGGUUGUAAAGUACUUUCAGCGGGGAGGCGUUACCCGCAGAAGAAGCACCGGCUAACUCCGUGCCAGCAGCCGCGGUAAUUC
rnacentral:rRNA from 1 species